UUCCAUUCAGACAACGUUGGCUCAGCAGAGUCGUCGCCGGCUCGACACCGUGAGUUAUAGAAGUGGCAGGAGCAGCGAAGGGGCCGACCACCGCCGUGUGUCACCGUCCCACGCCCAGUUACUGGAUGCGGCGAACACACCGCAAGUCGCCGCUCACGGCAACUACGCGCACACACGCAGCAGCCACCGUCACCCCUCGAGCUUUGCCUGGCCGCGCACUGCCCCAACCACACGUGAGCUAUUCCGACACCCACUGCCCAUGGUCAACCUACGAGCCACACAUGCACCAUCGUGAAGCGCUGAUUGAUCCCCUCCAUGGCCUCGUGCUCGCCGUCACAGUCCGUCGCCCUCGGGGCGGAGAGGGGCUAGAUCCGUGGAGCUGCGCAUGGGGUCAGCAUAUCGUCCUCGUGCUCCUCAAUUCUUGUCGGGUAUCAUUUGGGUCAGGCGGCAGAGAUGGCGAAUUCCUCCUCGGGUGCCUCAGAGUAAUGAGUUCCUGGAUAGAUGCUAAGGAAGUAGAAACAUGUACUUGAAUACUUGACUUGUUUCUUAGUAAGAAUAGUGGUCAAAUUCGGGAUUGUUCGCUGGAAAAAAUAUAACUUUUUAUUAAUAUUGCUGUCUAGGUUGAUGGAUUGGUGCAUUUGUUGUGCCUGACAGAGAAUUUGUAAUUUUGAUAGUUUGGCCGAUACAUUAUCUUCUCCUUUUGGAUGUUUGUGAAUUCCGACAUGUCCAAUGGGGAAACAAGUGCUCAAUUUAGUGACUUCACCUCAAA